AAAAGUCAUGCAUGCACUGGUUGUUAUUACAAGGGAACAUCUAACAUGCAAUGUUUACAAAAAGAUAAACAUAUAAAUGAUUGGACACUCAUUUGUCAACUUGGAUGCCACGCGGUUGUCCAGGAACCCAAAGAAUUCUGUGUUUUACAUUGGAUUUUUAUUAUAUAUUUUAUUUUCAUUUUAAUAAUUAUUGGAUUAAUGAUUAACAUGUUCCUUUUGAUUUCUUCAAGUAUAUAUACAUAUCACCGAUAUAUAUAUGCAUUCUUGUCA
rnacentral:misc_RNA from 1 species